GAUGAACGCUGGCGGCGUGCUUAACACAUGCAAGUCGAACGAUGAAGCCCAGCUUGCUGGGUGGAUUAGUGGCGAAAGGGUGAGUAACACGUGAGUAACCUGCCCUUAACUCUGGGAUAAGCCUGGGAAACUGGGUCUAAUACCGGAUAGGAGCGUCCACCGCAUGGGGGGUGUUGGGGAGAUUUAUCGGUUUUGGAUGGACUCGCGGCCUAUCAGCUUGUUGGUGAGGUAAUGGCUCACCAAGGCGACGACGGGUAGCCGGCCUGAGAGGGUGACCGGCCACAUUGGGACUGAGACACGGCCCAGACUCCUACGGGAGGCAGCAGUGGGGAAUAUUGCACAAUGGGCGCAAGCCUGAUGCAGCGACGCCGCGUGCGGGAUGACGGCCUUCGGGUUGUAAACCGCUUUCGGUAGGGAAGAAGCGAAAGUGACGGUACCGGCAGAAGAAGCACCGGCUAACUACGUG
rnacentral:rRNA from 1 species